rnacentral:rRNA from 1 species
GACGAACGCUGGCGGCGUGCUUAACACAUGCAAGUCGAACGGAAAGGCCCUGCUUUUGUGGGGUGCUCGAGUGGCGAACGGGUGAGUAACACGUGAGUAACCUGCCCUUGACUUUGGGAUAACUUCAGGAAACUGGGGCUAAUACCGGAUAGGAGCUCCUGCUGCAUGGUGGGGGUUGGAAAGUUUCGGCGGUUGGGGAUGGACUCGCGGCUUAUCAGCUUGUUGGUGGGGUAGUGGCUUACCAAGGCUUUGACGGGUAGCCGGCCUGCGCGGGGGACCGGCCAAAUUGGGACUGAGAUACGGCCCAGACUCCUACGGGAGGCAGCAGUGGGGAAUAUUGCACAAUGGGCGGAAGGCUGAUGCAGCAACGCCGCGUGCGGGAUGAGGGCCUUCGGGUUGUAAACCGCUUUCGCCUGUGACGAAGCGUGAGUGACGGUAAUGGGUAAAGAAGCACCGGCUAACUACGUG